UACAGAGGGUGCGAGCGUUAAUCGGAUUUACUGGGCGUAAAGCGUGCGUAGGCGGCUUUUAAGUCGGAUGUGAAAUCCCUGAGCUUAACUUAGGAAUUGCAUUCGAUACUGGGAAGCUAGAGUAUGGGAGAGGAUGGUAGAAUUCCAGGUGUAGCGGUGAAAUGCGUAGAGAUCUGGAGGAAUACCGAUGGCGAAGGCAGCCAUCUGGCCUAAUACUGACGCUGAGGUACGAAAGCAUGGGGAGCAAACAGG
rnacentral:rRNA from 1 species